ACGGUUUAAUUUUAUGUUCUAACUACAAAAUGAUGAAUGUCGCCUAGGACUCUGGACAAACAAUGGAAGAAACAGAGCUCAGAGAGGAAAAGGCCCAGAGGAUCCUCCAGAAACAUCCUCCGUCUGAACCUGGUCCCAGCUGUGAGUCCCUCAGUGACCGGUCUAUGGACAAACCAAUGGACUUCAGGACAGAACAGUGAGCUUUGACUCUGUGU
rnacentral:lncRNA from 1 species